rnacentral:rRNA from 1 species
UACGAAGGGGGCUAGCGUUGUUCGGAAUUACUGGGCGUAAAGCGCGUGUAGGCGGCCCUGCAAGUCGGAUGUGAAAUCCCACGGCUCAACCAUGGAAGUGCAUUCGAAACUGCAGAGCUAGAGUCCUGGAGAGGAAGGUGGAAUGCUUGGUGUAGAGGUGAAAUUCGUAGAUAUCAAGCGGAACACCGGUGGCGAAGGCGGCCUUCUGGACAGUGACUGACGCUGAGACGCGAAAGCGUGGGGAGCAAACAGG